AGCGAACGCUGGCGGCAGGCCUAACACAUGCAAGUCGAACGGAUCCUUCGGGAUUAGUGGCGGACGGGUGAGUAACACGUGGGAACGUGCCUUUUGGUUCGGAACAACUCAGGGAAACUUGAGCUAAUACCGAAUGUGCCCUUCGGGGGAAAGAUUUAUCGCCAUUAGAGCGGCCCGCGUCUGAUUAGCUAGUUGGUGAGGUAAAGGCUCACCAAGGCUACGAUCAGUAGCUGGUCUGAGAGGAUGAUCAGCCACAUUGGGACUGAGACACGGCCCAAACUCCUACGGGAGGCAGCAGUGGGGAAUCUUGCGCAAUGGGCGAAAGCCUGACGCAGCCAUGCCGCGUGAAUGAUGAAGGUCUUAGGAUUGUAAAAUUCUUUCACCGGGGGACGAUAAUGACGGUACCCGGAGAAGAAGCCCCGGCUAACUUCGUG
rnacentral:rRNA from 1 species